rnacentral:rRNA from 11 species
AAAGAGUGCGUAAUAGCUCACUGGUCGAGUGGUUCUGCGCCGACAAUUCAGUGGGGCUCAAGCACACCGCCGAAGCCGCGGCAAACAAUGUUGUUGUUUGGGUAGGGGAGCGUCGUGUGUGGGGUGAAGCCGUAUCGGAAGGAGCGGUGGACUGCAUGCGAGUGAGAAUGCAGGCAUGAGUAGCGAAUGAGGAGUGAGAAACUCCUCCGCCGAAUAACCAAGGGUUCCAGGGUCAAGCUAAUCUGCCCUGGGUAAGUCGGGACCUAAGGCGAGGCCGACAGGCGUAGUCGAUGGACAACGGGUUGAUAUUCCCGUACCCGCGAAU